rnacentral:misc_RNA from 1 species
GUCCACCUUGAAGUGAGCAUGGAAGAACCUUUUAUCCUCCUUGAAAGAAUGCGAUAUCAGAAAGUCCUUCAGCAGUCUCUCUUCUGAAUCAAACAAUACAAUGUGACUUGGGACUGUCCAAUUUUUAGCAAAUUCUGUUGCAAAGUCAAGUGGAUUUGUUAAGAAACGGUCCGACUCGACUGGGAUUCCUUUCUCUUCGCUCGGUGUGCAGUCCAGAAACUGCAUUGGUAAGUUUUGGUGCAGAGUGGAAUAGUAAGGCGUCGAAUGGCAGGGCAUCAGAAAAAGGAUCCUUUUGACUUUCUCAGUCACAGCUUCUCUAGCCAGAUGAUUCAU